rnacentral:tRNA from 1 species
GGGCGAUUAGCUCAGAUGGCUAGAGCGCCUCGCUUACACCGAGGAGGUCAGAGGUUCGAGCCCUCUAUCGCCCACCA